CUCUCUCUCUCUCUCUCUCUCUCUCUCUCUCUCUCUCUCUCUCUCUCUCUCUCUCUCUCUCUCUCUCUCUCUUCUGGUAUUCGAAUAUGAAUUCCAAGCCCCAAAACCCACUUGAAAUUCCCUGUAAUAUACCUUUCUCUCUCUACAACAAGCAAUGGAGUAAAUGAGCUGGAAAUGGGGGUUUUCUAGCCAAUGAAUCUACAGGAGAAAUGUAAGGUUUAUUCCAGCACACAGCAGAGGUUCUCUGCUCCACCCGCUCAACUUCGGAGUAUAUACGGCAUAUACCAAAAGUAACAGAAAAAAGCAACCUGUUUUGAAUCUCGACCACUAAGCAGAAACCGCCAUUAAAGUACUGCCCCCUUGCAUGUCAACCUCUUCUGAAUCGUGACCCCCAAAAAGGAAUAGCAAUGGCCUCCCCUGAAAAGACUCUUGGAGCUUUCCCAGCACUUUAGAGAAAGCCCACACCACAAUCCACAGAGACAGCUUGUUUCCUUGUCAUCCCUGUUUCUGCCAUUAAUUCCCUCUCUUUCUCUCUCUACAACUCCCUCUGUACCUUCUUAAAGGAAGCCCAGACCACAUGCUUGUCUCCUGCUUCCCCUAACCUCUCUCUGUCUCUUUCAAUGUCUCUUCAUACUUAAAAGCAGGCACACAUGUACAACAGUGACUGUAUUCCACUCUCUCUCUCUCUCUCACUCCACUAUUUCUCUCUCUUCUCGUAUCUCUACCCCGUCUCACUCCCUCUCACUACCAUUUUCUCACUCCAUGCCAGCAACUCUUUCUCUCUCUCUCUCUCUCUACCACCCCUCCCUCUCUCUGCAUCGCUCCCAUUAUCUCUCUCUCCAGUUUCCAGCUUUGCGUCUCUCACUCUACUUUCUCUCUCCAAACUCACACCAUCUCCCAGUCUGCUCUCUCUCUCUAGAAACCUCCCUCUUCUCCCUUCGCGCCACUGCAGGGCGGGAAGGUGCAUGAAUACAGAGGACCAAUAGGAGAAUGCCAAGUGGAAAGGUCAACCAAUCCAGUGCGAAAUAAGCUUAUCUUAGAUUCGGGCCGAUAGUGUGAGGAUGUGGUGGGAAUUUGGAGAGUCUGCCACGU
rnacentral:lncRNA from 1 species